AGUACUCACAAAUUGGGAGAUUAUAUCAUUCAUCUGUUUUGUAUGACAGGGACACUUUCAGCAAGCUCAGCAAGGAAGAAGCCAAUAAGGUUCAGGAACUGAAGCAGUUGAAGGGAGAAGAGCUUGAAGGAUUGAACAUAAAUGAAUUACAGAAGCUUGAAGAGCAAUUAGAUAAAGGUUUGAAACGUGUAGUCAGAGCAAAGG